rnacentral:rRNA from 1 species
UACUGGGCGUAAAGCGCGCGUAGGCGGUUUGUUAAGUCAGAUGUGAAAUCCCCGGGCUCAACCUGGGAAUGGCAUUUGAGACUGGCAGGCUAGAGUAUGGUAGAGGUGAGUGGAAUUUCAGGUGUAGCGGUGAAAUGCGUAGAGAUCUGAAGGAACAUCAGUGGCGAAGGCGACUCACUGGGCCAUUACUGACGCUGAGGUGCGAAAGCGUGGGUAGCAAACAGGAUUAGAUACCCUGGUAGUCCACGCCCUAAACGAUGUCAACUAGGUGUAUGGAGAAAAUAUUCUUUGUGUAUCGAAGCUAACGCGAUAAGUUGACCGCCUGGGGAGUACGGUCGCAAGACUAAAACUCAAAUGAAUUGACGGGGGCCCGCACAAGCGGUGGAGCAUGUGGUUUAAUUCGAUGCAACGCGAAGAACCUUACCUGGCCUUGACAUGU